GCCUGCAGAGGUCAGGGAGUGGAAGAGGUGUGAAUCUCUGGCCUUUCAUUGUCCGUUCCACAGCCCCAGUCCCUCCUUUGUGAAUGCAGAGAACUCAGAGGGCUUUUGUGAGAAAUCGAAUAUUCCACAAACCCUUGUAAUGAAGAAGCCUUUAGUGUACAAAAAAGGACAGUUUACUGUGCCUUUCACAAAACAGGGACAUAAGAUAUAACUAUCACAUGGUCUAAUAGCCACCCUUAAGUAGGGAAGUGUCUUGCUGUGUCUUUGCAGGGGUCUUGGAAAACAACGCUCUGCAUUCCCUAUUGGGCCUUUUUUGGGAGACAGUGUCAAGCACUGUCAUCAUCCGUUUUAUUUUUCUGAGACUGGAGUGUGUAUGUACUGAACUAUCCUCCUCACCACCUGCUUCAAAAGAUCCAGCAUGGAGGUUGAAGUCAAAGCAGAAGGUUUAAGGUCAGCUGGCAAGACUGCAGCUCAGAUGUAGGAUUGCAGCUGCAGGCACGUGAUAAAAAGCAGAGGUAAGGAGGGGACCCUCACGAACGACCUGGGCUGGGUCUGCUCCAAGCAUCUGGCCAGAACAGAAUAUCAUUGCUCACCUACAGAGUGCUUCCACUAGGACUGACCACUCAGUAGCUGGGUGGGUUCCCUUUGGUGAUCUUGGAUCCAUUUCCCCAGUUCCUUGUCACCUCAGUCUUUGUGUCCCCGGGGUACAGCCUGUCUCAUAGAGUCACCAUUCCACCCUGCCCUUUGAGCAUCCAUUGGUUUCGUCGUGGCUCCUGUGUGGCAGAUGUUCUCCCCAUUUUACAUAGAAGCUGGACACCGAAAGGAACAUGGCUGUGUCCUGGUGGUGCAGCCAGUCUGCACUGAGUAAUGAACCUGAGUCCUAGAAUCAUGGCGUUUGUGUGCUGAGCUGGUGGUGGCAAGACGAAUGUCUUCCAGGUGGCCUUGCUCUGAGCUCAGCCUCUCCUUCAUGAAGAAGCAAAACAAGGGCUGGUAAAGGAGCUUUCAGUACCACCUGAGGAGCUGAGUGGGGGGCCUUGGAAUCCCUGUAAGGGAGAAACCACCUCUGUCCUCCGACCUUCACUAGCACUUGGACAUGUGACACUUGUACCCCUUCCUGAACAAAUCUGCUUUCAUAAGCUAUGUUAAAAAUCCUUGUUUAGGCCUGGCGGUGGUGGCACGCACCUUUAAUCCCAGAUUAAAUUUAAUCCCAGAUUUCUGAGUUCGAGGCCAGCCUGCUCUACAGAGUGAGUUCCAGGACAGUCAGGGCUACACAGAGAAACCCUGUUUCAAAACAACAACAACAACAAAUCCUUGUUUAGUACCAGGCAUGGUAGUACACGGCUUUAAUCCAAGUGUUCUGGAGGUCCUUGGAUCUCUGAGUUCAAGGCCAGCCUGGUCCACAGAGUGAGUUCCAGGACUGCCAGAGUUACAGUCUCAAAAAACAAAACAAACAAAAAUCCUUGCUUUGCAUGCUCAAGGUCCUGGGUUCCAUCCCAGCACCUCACCAACAACCAACCAACCAAUCAGAACACUGACCAGGUCAGGCUGGAAGAUUCUUUUGGAUUGGCUCAUUUAGUUCUUAACUCAUAUUAUUGAGGCAGUCCCUCAUUUUACAGGGAGGGAAACUAAGGCAAACAGCAUAUACACCAUAUCCAAGGUCACACAAUAAGUGACAAAGACUGGUACAAACCAGUCUGACUCCAGGAUCUGUGUUCUUCUCAUGUCCCAGCCACCCUUCAAACCACCUUGGUAGCCCAAUUUGGAGGAGUCAUGUUCUCCAGCCCCGACUAGUGUCAGCCAUGCCAAGAGUCCAUGCUGUGGCAUGGAGAACUGUUAAUUAUUAGAGGCACUCAGCAACAAAACACCAUCCAUUCGUGUCAAGAGUAAUUGCACUGGCUGAUGAGAAAGGGUCUCUCUCAGGUGGCAGAAAUGCUGACCUUACACUUCUGGUCCCUCUGCUCCCUGCCCCCAACAGCAGUUCACGUGGUGCUGAGAUUAGAAGCCAAGGCUGUGGGCAAGCUAGGCCAGUAUUCCAAAGACUGAGCUGCAUCUCCAGCCCCUUAAUGGAAGUUUGAAAAUUAUCUUUGCAUUUACCGGAAAGAACCUGAAGAUUCUGUGUACUCUUUGGACAAAGAGGGUGGGUAAGGUGUGGCCUAGACCUGCCUCAGUCCCUCAGGGGAAGGGAUGGGUGGCUACCUUCUGGGUGGAUGCUCAGGUCUGCCCAUAAGCCACCCUCUCAGACAGACUUGGGGUGGGGGAAGCAGGAAGACGCUGGUUGAAAUGAACCUUUAGCUUUAAGCUCCUUACCCACAGGGCUUCUGGGUAAGUAGGUGUGGCCGAACCAGCAAAUUCACAGAGGAAGAAGCAUCCUAGCAUACUCCAUUAAAAUUGGUCAGAGUGCCUAGGGGAUGACAAACCAUGGAAAGGUGCCUGCCACCAAGCCCUCAAUUCCUGAGACCACAAGGUAGAAGAGGAGAGAACCAAGCCAGCUCCUAAAAAGUAUCCUCUGACCUCUAUACAUGUCUUUACACACACAAAAUAAUUUGUAAAAAAAAAAAAAAAUUAACAUGGUGACCAGGGUGAGGAGUACUAAAAACAAAAACAGCGGUUUCCCAGCCGCUUCCAAGCAGUGAGGCUCUGCCCUCAGGCAGGGCAGGCCACUCUGUCUGCCUAGUCUCCACAACUGCCUGCCCAGACCUGUGCAGUAGCCUUGAGGAAAGGCAUUUUAGAGUCUAGCCUGGGGCCUUACCUGGCCCUGCUCUGGCCAAAUGUUCUGUCAGGGCCUCUAUAACAACAGCGCAGCUUGCUGGUAGGUAGAUUCAGAGUCAAAAUGUCCCAGAAAACACCUUACCAUCGAUUUACUCAGUAACACUGAAAUGUGAUUUUCACACAGUUCUUACCUGUCAUAAUAAAAUACUUUGUUCCCUGGA